UAGAGAUUUUUAAAGUUGGCUAAAGUGCUAAAUGGAAAAAUUAGGUCAGCUAUUAGCACGACCGGAGAAUAUUAAAUGAAAGUUAGAUGCUGACUCCUCAUCACUACUUGACAUAACCACAUUUAAAAAGACAGAAAAAGAAAACUGAAUAAGUCCUUAAGCUACCUGGCUAAAUUUAAUCUUUUGUAUCCGACUUCGCUGACCUGCAGACUGUGCAAUUAGUUUUAUGUAGGUUAAAUUUAGAAAUGAUUGUCCUGAACGUUAAGUGAUUAUGGUGUUUAGCUAARUGUUUAACUAGCGGCUGCCGCCCCCGAGCUGUUCAGUUUUAUGUGUGUUUAAGGAGAAGUAAAAGCUCGUCUAAGGGUUUUAACUUUCUGCUGAACAUUCAGCUGUAAAAACAACGGAAACAAAAUAGUUUCAGUGUCCCAAGUGGCACCGUCUGCAUCUUUAUGUCAUAGCAUUAAACCGUAUUUAAUUACACCCUCAGUAAAUCAUGCAUGCUCCAAGUAAUUAAACUCCUGGACGGGAUUUAUAAUCCCGGGUUAAUGUCAUGGGUAAUAUCUGCAAACAGGGAAGGAAAUGAAUGUUUUUUUCUUUUUUUGUUGCUUUUUCUGUACUAUAUGGUUUUACUCUGAGCUUAUAACKUAUGCACCACUGCACAGCUAACAAAUCACACCGGUAAUCUGAUUACUUAUCCAAUACUGACCAUUAACACAAACAAGUGUUAAUCACCAGCCAAUCAGAAUGGAUUUUGAUCAGAGGAGCGGCGGAGGAAAGAUGGAGGAGCAGCUAUCCACAUGAGCUCACAGUUCAGCAAGCGCUUCAAGGUUUCCAAACUCGGUAGUUUCCCUGAAUGCUUGUCGGACGGCAGCGCGGGUUUUGCUGAUGGACUGAGCGGCGGGCAGCAGAGCUUUUAGCAGCUGCCUUUAACGUCGGCCAGCUGCUGCUGCUCAGGCCUUUGAUUUCCACAACUUGACCCACAAAUACGCCACUAAAAUGUCUGAAAUGUUCUGCAGUUCCCCAGAACACAAGAUAAGCUUCUCAACCUCAAGGUGCAAUUCAUAUAUCUGGGAGUUAUACGUGUUUAAUUUCUAUAUUUUUGAUAAGAAAUAAAUUUUUGUCUAUAAUUAAAAGUGUAUUUACUGCUGUUUUGAUGCUGUUUUUUUGGAAUAUAUAAUAUUGUGGUUAGAAAGUAAGUACACCCCGGGGCUGUUCAAGCAAAACCUCAAAUAUACAAACUGUCUUUAUUUAUUGAACAAAAAUUAGUUGAUUUAAUUGUAACAUUUGGUUCUACUACAGUAUUUCAGUCUGGACUUUGACUAGGUCAGCCGUUUUGUUUCAGAUUUGCGGUUGUUUGGAUUAUUGAUCCGCKGAUGACAUUUGGUCACAUUUAAAUCUGCAAAUAUUUUGCAUUAUCAACAGUUGAUAUCAGGUGUUUGUGGUGAUUUUCUCUUGUUUUUGUCUCAUUUAUCAAAAUAAAAUAACAACAUAGAGACAUUUUGUUCAUUCAGAGUAAUUUUUUUCUAAAAAAUAAACAAAAAUAAGAAGAAGUAUUUUUGAUUUAAUAGCAGGACUCCUGUUCACUUUAGAAAAUUUCACUUGCUUAAAAAUAUGUUUAGGAUUUUAUUGCACUUAUUUUCUGUUUUCAGAUUUAAUUCUUCUGUCUGGUUUGAAGGCAACUUUUCCAGGCAAGCAGAGAAAGUUUGAGAUGUUUGAACAAUAGAUGAGGGCUGCAAAKAACGACUAUUUUAGUAAUCAAAUCUAUCGAUUGUUGUGGCGAUUAAUCGAUUAAUCGGAUUUAAAAAGUAGCCACAUUCUACAGAUUCUUCAUUUAACCAUUUACACCUUUUUAUACAAUGUUAAAAGAUACARAUAAACAAUUCAAUUCAUUUUGAUAUAAGAAAAUAGUUUUAUUUCUUAAAAUUAAAAUGUAUUUAUUAUUCCUUUUGUAGAUGUAAACCAAACGAAUGUAAUGCUUUACCAUUUACAACGCAUUUAAAUUCAAAAUGUUUGUUUAUUUACUGCUCUGAAUAUGUUUUAUUGCCUCUAAAAACAACCGACACGCUUAAGAAAAACAGUCAGCUGGUCUUUGGCAUAAGUUACUGUUUUUUGGUGUCUGGAAAUUGAGCCAUUUGAAAAACCAGCCAAAUGUUCACAUUCCACRGAUGCUGUGCCGUUACCUAGCAACCCCCAGCCAAACCCUGCCUGGUUACCUAGCAACCCUAGCCAMGCCCUAGCAACCCCAGCCAUCUUAGAUUCUAUGGAAGCAGCAGGAAUUCGAUAAAUAUUGACAGUUUGAAUUUGCUUUGUGCCUUUUUGCAUAUUUGAGGUUUGAUUAAAAGAAUUCCAGGACCUGGUAACAGGGUGUACUUUCUUUCAAUCAUGAUUGCAGCCUAUAAUAUCCAAAGGAAUGUUGGUUUGAGUGAUUUGUACCUAUUUUAUGUUCAUUUGUUGAUGUAUUUCAUAAAGGAAAGUGGUAGAAUGGAUGUUUUAACAAGAUUUUCCUCUGUUACACAAACUGAUGCUGUUGUAAAAUUAAUAACUUUGAUAGAAUAUGGAAUGAAAUAAAAGGAAAUAUGUKUAUUAAA